rnacentral:rRNA from 1 species
ACGGAAGGCAGCAGUAGGGAAUCUUCCACAAUGGGCGAAAGCCUGAUGCAGCAACGUCGCGUGUGUGAUGAAGGGUUUCGGCUCGUAAAACACUGUUGUAAGAGAAGAAUGACAUUGAGAGUAACUGUUCAAUGUGUGACGGUAUCUUACCAGAAAGGAACGGCUAAAUACGUGCCAGCAGCCGCGGUAAUACGUAUGUUCCAAGCGUUAUCCGGAUUUAUUGGGCGUAAGGCGAGCGCAGACGGUUAUUUAAGUCUGAAGUGAAAGCCCUCAGCUCAACUGAGGAAUUGCUUUGGAAACUGGAUGACUUGAGUGCAGUAGAGGAAAGUGGAACUCCAUGUGUAGCGGUGAAAUGCGUAGAUAUAUGGAAGAACACCAGUGGCGAAGGCGGCUUUCUGGACUGUAACUGACGUUGAGGCUCGAAAGUGUGGGUAGCAAACAGGAUUAGAUACCCUGGUA